rnacentral:rRNA from 1 species
CAGCCGCCGCGGUAAUACGUAGGGUCCGAGCGUUGUCCGGAAUUAUUGGGCGUAAAGGGCUCGUAGGCGGUUUGUUGCGUCGGGAGUGAAAACCCAGGGCUUAACUUUGGGCUUGCUUUCGAUACGGGCAGACUUGAGGCAUUGAGGGGAGAACGGAAUUCCUGGUGUAGCGGUGAAAUGCGCAGAUAUCAGGAGGAACACCGGUGGCGAAGGCGGUUCUCUGGCAAUGUUCUGACGCUGAGGAGCGAAAGUGUGGGGAGCGAACAGGAUUAGAUACCCCUGUAGUCCCUGUCUCUUAUAA